UAAACUUAUUAUUAUUAUUAUUAUUUUAUGUUUGUAUUUGAAAACCAAAGCAGAGACUCCUCCUCCCCUGUUUCCAAGCAGAGCAAUGGAAGAGGCUUCCCCUCCCACCUCCUCCUCCUCCUCCGCCUCGCCGCCGCCGCCGCCGCCGCCGCCGCCGCCGCCGCCGCCGCCGCCGCCGCCGCCGCCGCCGCCGCCGCCGCCGCCGCCGCCGCCGCCGCCGCCGCCGCCGCCUCCUCCUCCUCCGCCUCGCCGCCGCCGCCACCGAUGCGGCGCUACCGUGGCGUGCGGCAGCGGCCGUGGGGGAAGUGGGCGGCGGAGAUCCGCGACCCGCACAAGGCGGCCCGCGUGUGGCUCGGCACGUUCGACACCGCUGAGGCCGCCGCGCGGGCCUACGACGCCGCCGCCCUCCGCUUCCGCGGCAGCCGCGCCAAGCUCAACUUCCCCGAGGACGCCCGUAUCCUCCCCCCGACACCGCCGCCGCCACCGCCACCGCAUGAAACUACGGCGACGACGCAAACCGCGGCCGCAGAGUACGCGGAUUACGCGAGGAUUCUGCAGCUGGAACAGAUGAUGAGUUCGAAUUAUGAGACCACAAUGGCUGGUCUUUCGAAUCCUGAUCCUGCACCCUUCUCUGCUUCCGCAUCCUCUGUUUCUGCAUCCUCUGUUUCUGCUUCUCAUUCUUACUAUCCCCAGUUCUAUAACCAGGAUGCGGGGGAUCCGCAGCAGGCGAAUUUUGCGGGCUCCGGCGAGGGGGGUUGGAGUUGGGAUAGUGGUGGAUCCGCAAACUAUGAUUACACUAUGCCUCCUUGGAGUGAUUCAACUCAGUANAAGGGAAAACUUCAAAAACCCCCCCUGUGGUUUCGUGCUUUCUCACUUUAGUACCCUGUGGUUUAAAACGUAUCAAUUUGCCCCCCUGUGGUUUCAUUUUUAUCUUUUCGGAAGCUUUUUCGUUAAUAUUUCGUUAAAUUAUAUACAAAAAACUUCAAAUAACCAUCUAUAUUUAUCGAAUAUUCACUUUAGUAUUCUUUAAUUUUAACUUUGUCACUGAUUUAAGAAAAAAAUAAUAGUAAAAUUGAUAACAAAAAGAGAAAAACGAAACCACAGGGGAGCAAAUUGAUACGUUUUAAACCACAGGGUACUAAAGUGAGAAAGCACGAAACCACAGGGGGGGUUUUUGAAGUUUUCCCUUUUAUUUAAUUUGUGUUUUAUGUGUUUUAGAGUUUCUAAAGUGCGAGAAUCACGUUGCCUUGUAUUCACAUAACAAUUUUUCUACACAAAAUGUUAAUUUAUACAAAUGGAUAGUAAUAUUGAUAUAUCAAAAGUUAUUACUAAUAAAACUGAUUUAUUGAACAUAAUUAUUGACGGAUAUAAUAAACUCGACGAAGAUAAAUAUUUUGUCAAUACCAUUGUUUUAUUUGUUUCUCUAUCAUACCAACACUAAAAUGUCUGAAUAAUUCUUAAGUCCGACUCAGAUAAAAAAUAUACUAGCAAAAUAAAUAUAAAGACUCAGUUUAACGAUUCGUUAUUUUCUAAAUAAAAAUAAUAUUAAUCAGUAGCGUGAAAGGAUGAGAUAAAAUAUAUAAAAAAAUUAUGAUUAGUAGGAUGAUAUCAAUAAUCUAUGAUCGCUCAAAAGGACAAAAUAAAAGUCUUUAAUUUGCUGGUUUGUGUAACAACUUAUUAUGUUCUUUUAGAGAUAGUCUCAUCUAUUGUUCAUCACAAGAACUAGCACGAAUAUCAUAACAUAAUGGACGGUUGAUAAGACCGUCUCAAAUUAGAAACUGUGUCCGCGUUAAAUUUUUGUUGUGUUCUCUGUCACAAUGAUAGCAUAGUAAUUGGUGAGAUGAUCUCAACCCUUGUCAAACGCAUAUUUAACUGAUAAGGACAUGAUGUGUCCACCUUGUGGCUGCUACAUGUAUUUGCAUGCUUAUCUCUCUCUCUUUUUGACUCUCUCUCUCUCUCUCUAUAUAAAGGGUGGAGACAUAUAGUCAUAUACUACUUGUAUUUGUAAACUUAUUAUUAUUAUUAUUAUUUUAUGUUUGUAUUUGAAAACCAAAGCAGAGACUCCUCCUCCCCUGUUUCCAAGCAGAGCAAUGGAAGAGGCUUCCCCUCCCACCUCCUCCUCCUCCGCCUCGCCGCCGCCGCCGCCGCCUCCGAUGCGGCGCUACCGUGGCGUGCGGCAGCGGCCGUGGGGGAAGUGGGCGGCGGAGAUCCGCGACCCGCACAAGGCGGCCCGCGUGUGGCUCGGAC
rnacentral:lncRNA from 1 species